AAAUUGAAGAGUUUGAUCAUGGCUCAGAUUGAACGCUGGCGGCAGGCCUAACACAUGCAAGUCGAGCGGCAGCGGGAAGUAGUUUACUACUUUGCCGGCGAGCGGCGGACGGGUGAGUAAUGUCUGGGAAACUGCCUGAUGGAGGGGGAUAACUACUGGAAACGGUAGCUAAUACCGCAUAACGUCU
rnacentral:rRNA from 1 species